GUUAAUCAUGAAGAUGCUCAAUGAAUUUUUGUCUCAACCAGAUUAUCGUAAAUCAAGGUAGCCCUAGCGAAGCGCAGGCAAACUUGCUGUCACUGUACUUCCAGUGUCGGGGUGACGAGUCAAAGUCGGCGGCCCCCGACCGUAGACCCCGCCCCCCCUCUCCCCCACCGCGAUGGCGGCUGACCUCUAAUGAUGAUGGACGCUGCUGUGGCGGAGAAUGGCGUCAUUGUUCCAGGUGACAUUCCUGACGGUCAUUUGGGGCCGCCCCCUCCAGGAUCCAUCGAGGCCCCCCCGAGUCACCCGCUACCACCGCCUCUUUCCAUGACAAAGAAGCGGGUCACCUGACGGCCCGAAUUGACCCGCUUCACUCGGCAGCCUCGCAGCUAAAGUAAACAAACUGUUCAUUCGGGAUAAUUCGGCAGAACGUACAACGGCGCCGUAUAAAUUCCUAACCUGUAAGUCCUCCGCCCCCCCCACCCCCACCCUUUUCCUUUCUUUACACUCAUCCUUCACUUUACUACCACACCAUCAGAAGUAUUGGGACACCAACAGGAAGGCAAAAUGAGCAUUGUGUAUUCCCGUAAUCCACAUUAAAAUUCGCACAUCUUACUAAAAGGAACAUUUCAGGCAAGAGCAGUGAAGAAAGUGGUCCAGCAAGUGUGAAGAAGAAGAAUUUUGGAGGGAAGCCUGUCUCCAUCAAUGGAAUCAUUCAGGUUCUUAUCAGGUGAGGUCACCCCCCCCCCAUGUGACUACCUUCCCCGUUCACUGCCUCCUGGCCUUUUGUCCUCCCGACAAUGUGGCCGUCAGAAUGGGUGAGGAGGGCUGAAUGAGGGUGAGGGAGGGGGGGUUGUAAAAGAGGGAGAAAAAUAUGGUGUUGAUCCCUCAUUCUUUACGGAGAUGUGCUCCAGGUAAAUAGAAGGCUUUUUUUCCCCUCCUGGUUUGCUUUGUUGUGGUCCCACAAUGAGGAGGUUUGUGUGUGUGUGCGACCCCCUCACUCGACCAUCCCAAAAUGUUUGCAUAAAGAAAUUACGACCCAAAAGUGUUAAAGACCCCCAAAUCUGCAAAGGUGAGAGCAAAACAGGACAUGAACAAGACCCAACUUGAAACAACUAAAACACAGCUCAUGACCCCAAGAAGUGUUUUCCAUUUUUAAAAAAACAAAAACGAGGGUUUGCAGCUCGCACAAGAUAAGAAUCGGACUCAAAUCCAUUUUUCCAGGUCAUGGUGGAAUUUCAUUGACAGUUGAUUUUCCUGAACAGUCAAUGCAAAUGACUCAGGAUAACUUUCAAGUCAUCAACCGUUAAGUAUCAUUUGAAUGUUUUAUUAUUCCAAAAUGGAAAACUCCAAAUGCGCUGAAAAAUCUGUCAAAAAUGCACUAUACAAAAUUUCAAAUAGAUUUCCCUGUCUACAACUGACCAUUUAUCCAAUUUUAAAAACCAUCAUCCUAAUUUAAAUCCUCAACCCAAAUUUGAAGUAUGUUUGGUGAUUGAAUAAAUUGAAGUGAAAACUUUGUCCCAGAUUCCAGCAACCUCCACGCAACGCACGCUGCCUGAGGUUAGCUUAACGGUUACCCGGGGAGGUUCGCAGCUGUCGCAGCCCCGGGGAAGAGGCGUCGAGGGGGGGGGGCGGAGAUGACUACCUGCAAUCCCACCUGCUCCCCAGAAAACAUCACAGAGUGAAAGGUGACGACAGACGUCCGCUGUCCCGCCGACUUUGAACGCGACACAUUUUUCCUUGCUUCUAUUUUGCAUCGUUUUCAAUUCAAAUGAUCAUCAGGCAAGAAUAUUUUCCAGAUUGCUUUAUUAUACGGGCAAGUGUUCCACAGGAAUGUGGGUGGGUGAAUGUGAAAGGGAAAGGUUCCAUUAAAGCUCACCUGUUCUGACCCCUGCAGGUACUUUGGCUUCUUUUCAUUCAUUCACUCUGUUUCUUCUUCUUCCCUCCAUCAGCAGCCCGGGGCCACGCUUUGAACUCACGGCGUCCUCUGUGUGAGUGAGAGAGAGAGAGAGAGAGUAAAGGUUUGUUAUAUACGGCAUUUGGCCUCAGGUGUUGGGCCACCAUUGUUUCGGCUUAAUUAAACUGGCAUGGAAGUAAAGGCCUCUUUAGUGGGUACUGGAUGUGUGUGUGUGCUUGUGUGUGUGUGUGCGUGAGACAUCCCUGCCAGCAAUUCAGAUCUUAUCUCAGCUUUUGUCAAAGCACCUACUAUUUGUGCGACCGUGUGUGUGUGUGUGUGUGUGUGUCCGCCAUUUAAUUUUAUUUCCUGCUGUAUAAAAGACAAUCAGCAUUCCCUCACACACACGCACACACACAGAUUCACAUUAACCAUCACCGAAAAAAAAGAAAGUUUUAAAUGAGAGCACCUCAGCAACCUCAUUAUGGUCAUUUCUUCUUCUUCCCAGAGAACCUCAACAGCCAAUCAGAGAAAAGCAAGAGCGCAAGAACCAGGGAAAGACGAAAAUCCCAGCGCUCAUAAAAGACAGAAGAAGAGGAAGCAAGAAAAACAGAAGAAGACCAGAACAAGAAAAGACCAAGAAAGAAUGAAGAAGUACGUACUGUCUGUACCGACUUGAAGUCGUCUAGAAAGUGACUCAGUGACAAACAAAAAGUUCUGAUUCACCAGGCACUGCCCAAUAUAGUUUGAUACUUUGAAUGUAUGACGCGUGCACACGUUCAGCAGGUCAUCCAAGAAUGUAGGCCAGGUAGCACACAACGCCACACACACACACACACACACACACCAGAGCCAGAGAGCGAGAGAGUCGGUCCUGCUGGGCGGUGUAGACACAACCCCGCUGUGGCUCGGCUCGCUCACAAUGGCAUCAGCAGGGAGGACACGGCGCUAAUCCCUGUUAGCAUAACAAUGCUACAGCGGCACACCUCAAGCCUUCAGCACACACACAAAUAGAAAUACACACACUGUAAACCUGUAAUUGGGCAGAAGGGGGGGGAAAAAAAGCACUCACACACACAAUAAACUUCGGCACGCUAACGCCGACACAAAGUGUGUGUGUGUUUACUACCUAUUAGCUACCUGUUAGCUACCUGGCGUAUUUGACAUCCACAAGGCCAAAAUGUCCGUCGAAUGUAAACUUUGUUGUCGCAAAAUAUUUGAACCACUCACUCUUAUCCCUAUGAGAUGUUGCCACGGUUACAAGGAUGAGGGAGUGGCGUGGACAGAAAAGCGCAGAAAGCUCUGAGUGUACGUUUGCUCUGUGUUUACAUCCUAAAAGCUCUCUAAUAAGACGCCGCUAGACGGGGAGGCUUUCAUCUUAACCUGUCCCGUCACACCCACUACCCCAACGAGUGCCGUUAUUUAUGGCGGCUGUCUCGGAGUGGAGCACUUACACAUCUUCUGAGUCAGACGGGAGGCUCCAGAGGAGGAAGGUGUGCUUGUACAUUUCAUCAUUUACUUCAAUUCAUCUCACCACUAAAAAUGCAAUUUUCAAACACAUGACGAGAACAUUUCAUCAAAUGAUGUGGCGGGUCAGAUCUGGCCCCCGGCUGGGCCUUGAGUUUGACACCAGUACUUUACUGGACUAGUUAGCAUCAUGCGUCUUGGCACGGAUACAAAAAUAGAUCAUAAGAAACGAUUUUUUUCAUUAGGAUGUUAAGGGAAAUGGAAACACAUUGUAUUUGUGUGUGUGGUGACAGUAAUCUGAUUACUUUAAUCUGAUUACAAGUGUAAGCAGUCAAUGAGUUCCGCCCUAAAGUUGGCAGACGGGCAGGGUGACCUACACAAGGGCAGGGACACUCGUUGGGGGGGGGGGGUCUACGUUUUUGGCACGAUUCGAACCACAACAAGCCGACCAAUGUCACAUGACAAGCGUAGCCGUCGUAAUCUCCAUUUUGUGACUUUUGUACUGCCGUACAUUCUUGCUUAAUGACUGCGUGACAAGCCGCCGGCUAACUUUCCCGUCGAUGUAAACACACCAACUAUUCACCUGGAGAAAACACGCACAUGUAUGAAAACACACACAAACACACACACACUUGCUCUCAAGCAUUAUCCGUUUCAAGGCCAAACCUGCCGUAAAUCUGCACUGACAGGACACACACACACACCCACAGACACACUCACACACAUAUGCGCUGCGUGUAUUGUGUUCAUUUUUUUUUCUAAAAAAUCGUCUUGCUGCCUUUCGUCCGUUUUUAAAAAACAUUUACUUGUACUUAUUAAAAAGCAGGACAUCAUUUCAAAUUGGCAGUGUAGAAAAUGCACAAAUGCGAAUUAAUUAUGUUUGGCGCGUAAUGUCCAAAAAUGUCGAUUAUCGUUUUUAACGGGGAUUCUACACGAUUAAUCCAUGUACCAAAGAUUUCAAUUAUGACGAUAAUCGAUUAGUUUUCGAUCAAUUGAUUAAUUGAUGCACCUCUAGUUUUGAUGGAGCAAUACAUCAUGUUGAUAUCAUUUUUGGAUUAUCGUGCAUUUUUAUCGUCUCGUAUCAUCUUCAUGCUGCUCAGGGGAAAAAUGUUUCACUUGUGUGUUUCUUUCACUUUCUGCAUGGUGAAGCCUUCUAAACAUCUCCCAAGCAGCAUGUAAAGUAUCUCCACACUUUUUAUGUGUCUGUUAACUGGCUGGGUGGGCGCUUUGAUUGACAGCUCUCACUGAUUGCUCUCUUCCUCUUUGUUCUUUUCCUCUCAGGCUUCCACUUUUUAUUUCCACCAUUUUGUUGGACCGACUGAGUGGAAAAACAACGAGCGAGCGCAACAGUUGCCGCAGGACAAACGCCGUUAGCGUCCCGCCACGCAAAACUCACACGACCGGGUGGGCUGACGGCGCGGGUCACGUGACACUCUCAUCACGACCCAAACUGUUUUAUUGCGUGUAAACAAUCCCACGUGUCAGCAAGAAAGUAGAAAAGGUUUGUUGUUUGGAUUUUUUUAUUGUCUGGCUGUUAUCAUUUCGUAUCAGCUUGUAUCAUUUUCAGCUUCCCACGCGUACCGUCAACUAUUUUCGGACUCUUUAGCCUAUUUGAACCCCUGCUGCGUAAAUAUUUGUAUACUGGCCCCAUCUGAUGUAAACUCUGCGUUGGCGCCGUAAACUGAACUUGAAGUGGGCUUUUAUUUUGCUGGGAGAUGCGUGGGAGGUUUAUUUUGAAAUGCUCCUCCGAUGAACGCUAAAUAUUUGCGUCAUCGCGGUCGUUGUCGCCGUCUUCGACUUUCCCUCUGUUGCCGCCGCCGCCCGGCCAGGCCCUCAAAGGCGCUUGAAGGGCCGCCGUGUAAAUGUUCAGACGGCCGCACCGCUCUCCUUAUGGGCCGACAACUGCGCUCGGGAUCACACGGCCCGCAUUCUCGGCAUUGUGGAGAUGUUAAAGAUCUUCCGUGUGCAGGAAGCGAAAGACAAGUGAGAGGCGUUAAGUUUCACACCUGCAGGUGUCCAGUUUGAAUUUUUCAUGACGGCCUGCUGGAGCGACAACUUCAACCGCAACACAGGAUCACAAUGUCAGGCCAUCAGCCAAUCAGAACACACCAUGAACUCUACUUAGGCUGCAGGAGCUUUUUUUAAUGGGUUUAAAUAUUGACUGCAUAUGUUCUUUGUAACACAUUGACCUGCAUUCACACACACACACACACUCUUGUCAUCUUUUCUGUCUGUUACCGGGACGAUGGUGCUGAUACUCUCUCCCUCUCUGGGUCACAGAUAAAAGGCUUCAGGUAACCUAAGGAACUAAAGACACACACACAUAUGCACACACAGUUCCCGUUAAAGAGUAUCUUUGUCAUGACACUGACUUGUAUCUCAUGUGAAAUCGCUGAGUGAAGACUGAGCCAUGUUACACUUUGAAGUCACACACACACGCAAGUGCGUCUGCCAAUGAAGAAAGUACGUCAGCAUUACAACGUGAAAGGAGAAGUGUGUGUGUGUGCGUGUUUAGUGUUGGUGUGUCAGGACGGCUCCAAUGCAUUUCCAUGGAAACCAGCGAGUGAAAAAACUCCCAGAUUUAAUCAUAAUCAUUGCUGCAAUGAUACAAAUGAAGUUGAAAAAUGUUACGUGAUGAUGCAAUGGUCAAAUGUUGCACUUUCAUAGCUCAAAAGCAAAACAUGAAGUUAAAUGAUAAAGAAAGAAACACAAUAUAUGUGCUAUUAAAUUGACUAAAUAUGCAUUGUUAUAAUUAUUUGUCCCCAGAAUCACCUUUACUUUCUUUUUUUAUUUCUUUUUUUUUUUUUUUUUUUUUAAACAAGUCAUUGCAAUGUAUAUCCGGAGUUGCCUUUAUAUUGAUGUUAAAUUUGGCUAAUAACAGUAGAAAAUGAAUUCAAAUCAUCAUCCACAAAGCAA